UCCUCCCUCCACCCCCUCUCUCCCAGUCCCAUUCCUCUCUCCCUAUACUUACCUAAUCACAGAUCAUUAGUUGCCAUGACAUUGUGAUUGUUUUUAUAUUAAAUGACUGCUAUCCUAGUUAUCAGAUUUGGAUGAAAUUGUUAUCAGCUGGAUGGUGAAGCCACUAUAUUAUGGACCAUGUUCUGCGUCCCAAACGCCCACCCUGUUUUCUAUAUAGUGUACUUGUUUGUCACAUGUUUUCUCAUCAGAAGAGUGGUUAGAUCCCAAAUGAAACCCUAUUCCCUAUAUAGAACACUACUGUCGACCAGAGCCCUAUUCCCUAUAUAGUGCACUAAUUUUGACCAGAGGCCUAUUCCCUAUAUAGAACACUACUAUAGACCAGAGCCCUAUUCCCUAUAUAGUACACUACUGUUGACCAGAUCCCUAUUCCCUAUUUAGCACACUAAUUUUGAUCAGAGGCCUAUGGGGAAGAGGGGGCCAAUUGGGACGCGAGACUGUAUGUGAAACUGGUAAAUUUUUAAAUGUUUCUGAGGUUCUUAUUGGUUGUCUGAUUCUCUGACCAUGUCUGUGGUUGUUAUGGUUACCGUCUGGUCCAGUUCAUACAGACUGUUUUGGUUGUUGUUUCUUUGUUCUGUUUAUCUCUCUUUUUGUGGUUUAACUGUCUGUGGUCAGGUUCUGGCCAAUCAGAUGGCUCUGUGGUCAGGUUCUGGCCAAUCAGAUGGCUCUGUGGUGGUGUUGUGACUACUGCUGUCUAACUUCUCCUGGAGGACCCCUGGUGUUUCUGUAUCAACUACAUGUCCCAAAAUGGCACCCUAUACCCUACAUAGUGCACCACAUUUGACCCGAGGGCCCACGGGGGAACAGGGGGGCCCACGGGGGAACAGGGGGGCCCACGGGGGAACAGGGGGGCCCACGGGGGAACAGGAGGCCACAGGGGAGGCAGUGUCUGUCAGCCCUCCAGGUCUAGUCUGACCUCACGUCUCCCUGGUUAAGUGGAACUGGACUCGUCACUCGCUGCUUCUCAAUGUUUUAUGGAGUGUCUGUGUGUUAUUAUAUGAUCACAUGUUAAAACUACUUAUGUGUUGACCUCUAAGUACCCUGUGAACUAUUUUGAUUGAGAAAAAAAUAAAAAUAGAUUUAUGUAAAAA